CUGAAAGAACAAGGGACAGGGAAAAAAGCCUGUGCGGCUGAACGAGAGAAAGACUGUGAGGAGGGAGGGAGGGAGAUAUAGGCUGAGGGAGAGAGAAAGCAAGAGAGAAAAUAUAUGGAGGAGGAGAGCUGCAGGAAUUCUCCUCUAGAAGGAACACAAACAUUGUGUUUGUGAAUGGGAGCUGGUGAGCUCAGCCACAGGGGGAGUGUGUUCUGAAAAACUAGGCAGCCGCUGGUGAGCCUGAACACCAAUCCUCUCCCUUCUGCCACGGGCUGGGGGGAUUGAGCCAGGAUUUCCAUUGGGUUCUUCCAGGGAGUGAUUUGGAGAAGAGUCCAGGCUGUUGGUUAGGAUUUAUAGCUGUAUGUAGGGAAUAUGCUGGAGAGGGUUUGAACAUGCUGUUAGCUGUUAUUGCAGAUUGAACACAGUAGUGUGUGCGACGUGGAGGCUCAGUCUGCUGGUUUAGUAUUGGCAGUGCUGCUCCCACCCCUGCUGCUGGGUCUGUUUUGGGGGCUAUGUUUCUGACUGACCUGGGCAGCAUUACCCACAUGCAGGGCAGAGGCUGAAUGGGAGGUUAAGAGUGCAACUAACCAGCAUGGGAGCCAAACAGAUGAAAUGCCUCAGUUCAGCCAGCCCUGCACACUCCCCUAAAGAAGAGUACAUCAUCGCUCAGUCCACAGACACUCCUAAAGAAGCAUUUAUCUCAGCUCAGUCUGAAGACCACGCCGAGCCUGGGGAUGACAAAUCAGAGUUGACGGAAAGGAAAUCUGAUACAGAAGAGGUGUUGUCUCUCUGCGGCCUGUGUCCUGCCCCAGGGCAUGGUGGGCCAGAGGAGGAGAGAUCAUGGGAGGAGCAGCUGGAGUGUCACCAGGAGCAGCUGGAAAAGGAGAUGCAGGAGGCCAGGAGGAUGGUGUUCCGCCUGCAGGCACUACUGCUGCACGGCUCUCUCCCUGAGGACGAGCAGGACGUCUCCCUGGGCUUCGGUGAUAGCAGAGCUAACUCUGAGCAGCAGCUGGUUCUAAUCCGCAGUCGUCUGGACCAAAGCAUGGAGGAGGCUCUUGAUCUGAAGAGGGAGCUUCUGAGGCACAAGCAAGAGGCACGCCACCUUCAGGCUAUUAAGGAUGCUCUUCAGCAGCGUAUGUCUGUACAGGAGGCUGCGGUGCUGCAGCUGAAGCAGGAGCUACUGAGGUGCAGCAUGGGCAAAGAGCAACUAGAGGGGGAGAACGCAGAGCUCAAACGGAAGUUGAGCGAUCGGAACAACCUACUCAAUGAGUAUGAGCAGCAACUUGGAAAAAAGGAUAGACUACUUCAGCAACAGCAAAUGAAACUGGACGAUGCUCGGCACAACUCUAAUGAAGGAAGCCACAGGUCAUCUAGGAGUGAAAAGAGUGGGUACAGUAACUCUGUGAGCCCACCCCCUGGUCCGGCCUUCCAACACACAGCUCAGGGAGAGGAACUGCAGCUGGUAAGGGAGGCCCUGCGUAGUCUGAGGGAUGGUUUCUCAGGUCACGACCCUCAGCAUCACACCCUGGACACACUGGAGCAAGGGGUGGCCAGUCUCAUGGACCGCCUAUACACACUCGACACACGCCGCAGGCAGCAGGACAGAGGGGGUCUGUACAAAUCACCAGGACGAAGAGCCAACCCCACAGACAGGGACUCAUGGCCACCCAGCUCAAAAAUAGCUCACUCCCACAGUAGUCCUGGCCUGGACUCCACAGUCUCCACUAAAGUCCUCUACUUCACUGAUCGUUCACUCACUCCUUUCCUGGUCAACAUCUCCAAAAGGCUGGGGGAGGUGACUCUGAGAGACUUCAAGACAGCGGUGGACCGCCAGGGUAGCUUCAGGUACCACUUCAAAGCCCUCGACCCAGAGUUUGGGACUGUGAAGGAGGAGAGUUGUUUCCUGAGGUUUCUGAACACACCCUGUCUGGUUGCCGGGCGAUGAAGCUAGGCGGGAGAUAUCUCGAUUACCCGCACCUGCAUCUCAUCAGCCAUCUGCACACCUGGUCCUGAUCAUCACCUCUUCUCUUCAUAAGCUCUGACCUGACAUCCAUUCCCUGCCGGAUCGUUAGCAAUGAACAGUAUGUUGUGUCAGCGUAUCAGCCUCAUGUUACCAGAGUUAGUUUUGUUGUUCUGUACUUUUCGCCGGUUACUCACCCCCGUUUACUCUGUCUACAGUCAUCCUCCCGGAACAUUCACCCCCUUGCCUGGUCGUCAGUGGUUUCAGUGACAUCAUUGGAUCUGCCUAUUCACUCUCAUCAACUCACCUCCGCUGCUGCUCCGUCUCCUGGAUUAUUCUAUUUUCACCUCGAGUCUGUGUUCCAGGAUGGAGCCCUGGUGCCUGGCUGGGAGGGGAAGAUAGUGGCCUGGGUGGAGGAGGACCAUGGAGAGAGACGGUAGAACUGGGAACCAACCAACCAUAGAGGGAACCACUAGCCUCAAACUGUGACCACUGGAAUAUGAUGUCAUAACACCCUCUCAGUAUUCGCAGCAGCCCUGCAGAGGUAGUUAUUAAAACAGUUGGGACCAAUCUAUUUAUUACUGUUUCGAGAUAAAACCAUACUUUCAAAAUGGCUCUGUCCUAUGGACCUUUGACUUACAGUAACUGUUUGAAGUACAAGUUGUAGUUGCCAAAUAUGAAUAAAGUUCUUCACAAUACAAUUUUGAAGUUUUAAUAAACAUGGAUUAUUACAUGAA